CACCACCCACUAGGAUCCCCCAUAACCCUGGUGUCUUCAUCUCCUGUGAUCCAUGAGGUCCAAUGCUGUCACCACCCACUAGGAUCCCCCAUAACCCUGGUGUCUUCAUCUCCUGGGAUCCAUGAGAUCCAAUGCUGUCACCGUCCACUAGGAUCCCCCAUAACCCUGGUGUCUUCAUCUCCUGUGAUCCAUGAGGUCCAAUGCUGUCACCACCCACUAGGAUCCCCCAUAACUCUGGUGUCUUCAUCUCCUGUGAUCCAUGAGGUCCAAUGCUGUCACCGUCCACUAGGAUCCCCCAUAACCCUGGUGUCUUCAUCUCCUGGGAUCC